UACGGAGGGUGCGAGCGUUGUCCGGAAUCACUGGGCGUAAAGGGCGCGUAGGCGGCGCGAGUAGUCAACGGUGAAAGCCCGGGGCUCAACCCCGGGUCGGCCGUCGAUACUCUCGUGCUUGAGCACUGUAGAGGCAGGUGGAAUUCCGGGUGUAGCGGUGGAAUGCGUAGAGAUGCGGAGGAACACCGAUGGCGAAGGCAGCCCCCUGGGCUAACACUGACGCUCAGGCACGAAAGCGUGGGGAGCAAACAGG
rnacentral:rRNA from 1 species